rnacentral:ncRNA from 17 species
ACAUUAACUGGGACCGACGGUUCCCCUACCCGUGAGGUGGAGGGGAUUAAUAGGGAACACGGUGCGGACGACCCAAGAGGGACCAAAACCGUGGCUGCCCCCGCAACUGUAAGCGGAUCGUCGUUCAUCCUUGUGGCGCCAAGGCGCCAGCCACUGCGCGCGUUGCGCGGGAAGGCAGAUGAGCGACUCUGUCCGUGAGCCAGGAGACCUGCCGUCAAAUCGAUCCAACGU